UACGGGGGGAGCAAGCGUUGUUCGGAUUUACUGGGCGUAAAGGGCGCGUAGGCGGCCAGCACAAGUCAGUUGUGAAAUCUCCGAGCUUAACUCGGAAAGGUCAACUGAUACUGUGCGGCUAGAGUGCGGAAGGGGCAACUGGAAUUCUUGGUGUAGCGGUGAAAUGCGUAGAUAUUGGGAGGAACACCAGUGGCGAAGGCGGCUACCUGGACCGGAACUGACGCUGAUGCGCGAAAGCGUGGGUAGCAAACAGG
rnacentral:rRNA from 1 species